UGGGGACAUGGAAGCUGUGUUCAGGCCGGUCCACGCUGGGUGACCCAUGUGACCUGCUGCUUAGCAAUUCCUUGUCACCAUCUUCCCUUCUCAGCCUCUUUUUUCAUGCUAACAGGCAUAAAUGAAAUGAUAAAAGUUUGAGCUCUUCUCGUGGAAUUCUCGUGAUACAGAUAUGUGCUACAUGUUCAUCAUCUCGUUGGUCUUCACCAUGAUAACUGUGGAGUAAGAAUUAUAAGCAGGUCACAGAUUAGGGACUUGAGAUUGACAGUUUGGCUUCCCUGUUCUGGGUGGCAAAGCCUGUGGAGUACUCACCUACCUGCUGCAUGAAGGCAGCAUGGAGGGACUGUGGUGGAUUAUCUGCAAAGAUGGCCAAAAUUCUCUCAUCCCUGCAGGCACAUACAAGAACUGAAGCUCAGCUCUUCACCCUACAGAAAGCCUGAAUUUUGUAAAUGUUCUGCUUAGAAUGAGGAAGAAAGAUGAAGAAUGAGGAGGAAGAAGGAAGGAACGAGAGAGAGGUAAAGCCAACAAGCAGAACAGACCUACAUUUGCAGCAUCUCCAAGUUUCUGCAACAGCAUUAUGUUGUUGUUAUGUUUUGUUUUAAUAAAAGCACAUACCAUUUU
ensembl:lncRNA MIR7515HG MIR7515 host gene